UUGUGUAGGAUAGGUGGGAGACUGUGAAGCGGCGACGCCAGUCGUCGUGGAGUCAACGUUGAAAUACCACUCUGGUUGUUCUGGAUAUCUAACCUAGGUCCAUUAUCUGGAUCAGGAACAGUGCCUGAUGGGUAGUUUGACUGGGGCGGUCGCCUCCCAAAAGGUAACGGAGGCGCCCAAAGGUUCCCUCAGCCUGGUUGGCAAUCAGGUUUCGAGUGUAAGUGCACAAGGGAGCUUGACUGUGAGAGGGACACCUCGAGCAGGGACGAAAGUCGGGACUAGUGAUCUGACGGUGGCAUGUGGAAGCGCCGUCACUCAACGGAUAAAAGGUACCCCGGGGAUAACAGGCUGAUCUUGCCCGAGCGUCCAUAGCGACGGCAUGGUUUGGCACCUCGAUGUCGGCUCGUCGCAUCCUGGGGCUGGAGUCGGUCCCAAGGGUUGGGCUGUUCGCCCAUGAAAGCGGUACGCGAGCUGGGUUCAGAACGUCGUGAGACAGUUCGGUCCCUAUCCGCUGCGCGCGGAGGAAUCUUGAGAAGGGCUGUCUUUAGUACGAGAGGACCGAGACGGACUGACCUCUGGUGUGCCAGUUGUU
rnacentral:rRNA from 1 species